rnacentral:tRNA from 1 species
GCCUCCGUAGCAUAGUAGCCAUUGCGCGGGACUUGUAAUCCCGAGGUCGGGGGUGCAACUCCCCCCGGGGGCU